AGGGUGGAGAUCACUCUGGUUGAGGGAGAUGCUAUGAAGGCAAUAGUGGCUGGAUACAGACUCGAGGUUAUAUGAUUUUAUGAUUCAGUCUCCUGUAUUCUUGACUUCCUGCCAUGGUGGACUGAAUCUUGAACUGUGAGGUGUACAGGAGAGUGGAUCGGAAAGUUCAACAUUGCCAUGCUCUUCCUCAUCCCUCCUCGUCCCCCUGCCCUUAACAUCUUGCAUCAGUGUGGUGCAGUUUUUACAUAGGAGGAAGCUACUGACAACAAGAGUCCACUCUGUCUUAUAAGGUUCUGUGGUUCUUCCCAUGUGAUGUCUACAUGUAUCCAUUAACAGAGUGUCACCUACAGACUACAUUAUAGUGCCUUACAAAUCCCAGGUAUCUUCCUUCUUAUUCCCUUCCCCUUCCCUAUUCCUGAAAUCACCGUUCUUCCUGGUU